GACCAAGACCAACACUUUAUACGACUAGGUAGUAUACAACCCAUACACUAAAAUAUGACUUGGGAGAGGCUAAACCGUAUCUUGGGUAGAAUACUAUCCACAUAGACUGAUCAACAUACGAAAUAGAGGGUACUAGUCAUACAUUAAAAUAUGAUUGGUAUGCUCAAUCCGUACCCAACCCAGAACCUCAAAACAUGGGGAAAUUUUUCUAAGGGUCCCAAAGCCUAGG
rnacentral:lncRNA from 1 species